rnacentral:lncRNA from 1 species
CCGCCGCCGCCCGACCGCUCCCCGCCCCCAGCGGACGCGCGCGCGACGAGACGUGGGGUGGGGGUGGGGGGGGCGCGCCGGCGCCCGCCGGGCUCCCCGGGGGCGGCCGCGACGCCCGCCGCAGCUGGGGCGAUCCACGGGAAGGGCCCGGCUCGCGUCCAGAGUCGCCGCCGCCGCCGGCCCCCCGGGUGCCCGGGCCCCCCUCGCGGGGGACCGUGCCCCCGCCGCCGGGGCCCCGCGGCGGCCGCCGCCGGCCCCUGCCGCCCCGACCCUUCUCCCCCCGCCGCCGCCCCCACGCGGCGCUCCCCCGGGGAGGGGGGAGGACGGGGAGCGGGGGAGAGAGAGAGAGAGAGGGCGCGGGGUGGGGAGGGAGCGAGCGGCGCGCGCGGGGUGGGGCGGGGGAGGGCCGCGAGGGGGGUGCCCCGGGCGUGGGGGGGGCGGGCCCCCCUCGCGGGGGACCGUGCCCCCGCCGCCGGGGCCCCGCGGCGGCCGCCGCCGGCCCCUGCCGCCCCGACCCUUCUCCCCCCGCCGCCGCCCCCACGCGGCGCUCCCCCGGGGAGGGGGGAGGACGGGGAGCGGGGGAGAGAGAGAGAGAGAGGGCGCGGGGUGGGGAGGGAGCGAGCGGCGCGCGCGGGGUGGGGCGGGGGAGGGCCGCGA